rnacentral:rRNA from 1 species
GCUGGCGGCAUGCCUAACACAUGCAAGUCGAACGAACCCUUCGGGGUUAGUGGCGCACGGGUGCGUAACGCGUGGGAACCUGCCUUUAGGUUCGGAAUAACUCAGAGAAAUUUGAGCUAAUACCGGAUAAUGUCUUCGGACCAAAGAUUUAUCGCCUUUAGAUGGGCCCGCGUUAGAUUAGAUAGUUGGUGGGGUAAUGGCCUACCAAGUCGACGAUCUAUAGCUGGUCUGAGAGGAUGAUCAGCCACACUGGGACUGAGACACGGCCCAGACUCCUACGGGAGGCAGCAGUGGGGAAUAUUGGACAAUGGGCGAAAGCCUGAUCCAGCAAUGCCGCGUGAGUGAUGAAGGCCUUAGGGUUGUAAAGCUCUUUUACCAGGGAUGAUAAUGACAGUACCUGGAGAAUAAGCUCCGGCUAACUCCGUGCCAGCAGCCGCGGUAAUACGGAGGGAGCUAGCGUUGUUCGGAAUUACUGGGCGUAAAGCGCGCGUAGGCGGCUUUUUAAGUCAGGGGUGAGAUCCCGGGGCUCAACCUCGGAACUGCCCUUGGAACUGGAGAGCUAGAAUCCUGGAGAGGCGAGUGGAAUUCCGAGUGUAGAGGUGAAAUUCGUAGAUAUUCGGAAGAACACCAGUGGCGAA